UCUUAUUAACUGGGGUGCUGGUGUAACCGGCUGAGAUAAAACCCAUUGAACCUGCCAUGGUAAUAGUGGAAGGGAUGGUAAUUUGUGGAUAGA
rnacentral:ncRNA from 1 species